rnacentral:rRNA from 1 species
GAUGAACGCUGGCGGCGUGCUUAACACAUGCAAGUCGAACGGUGAAGCCGUAGCUUGCUCUGCUGGAUCAGUGGCGAACGGGUGAGUAACACGUGAGCAAUCUGCCCCUGACUUUGGUAUAAGCUCUGGAAACGGCGUCUAAUACUGGAUACGAGCUGCGCAGGCAUCUUCAGCAGCUGGACAUCACUUCGGUCAGGGAUGAGCUCGCGGCUUAUCAGCUUGUUGGUGAGGUAACGGCUCACCAAGGCGUCGACGGGUAGCCGGCCUGAGAGGGUGACCGGCAACACGGGGACUGAGACAGGGCCCAGAGUCGUACGGGAGGCAGCAGGGGGGAAUAUGGAACAACGGGCGAAAGCCGGAGGCAGAAACGCCGGGUGAGGGACGACGGCCUGCGGGGUGUAAAACGCUGUUGGCAGGGAAGAAGCGAAAGUGACGGUACCUGCAGAAAAAGCGCCGGCUAACUACGUG